rnacentral:lncRNA from 1 species
CGGUGACGCGCUCCCGGCCACCCAGGCCGGCAUCCGCCUGCUCGGGCCAGAAACCCACGAAGCGCCACGGGCAGUCAGGUUUCGGGCCCGCCUGCAGCCGCGAGGCCCCGGCGGGCGCUGAAACGAAAGGCAGGUGAGGGAAGCAGCGCCAGGGGGCCGAGGCGCCGCGGGCCGCGAAGCCGGGCGAGGGCGCGCUGCGCCCCGAGACGAGCGCCCUGGGCUGGCUCAUCGGCGUCCCAGGUGGACGCGGCUCCAGCCGCAACGCCGCCCGGCCCGCCGUGCGCAGACCCGGGGCCCGGGCCCCCAGCUUCUGGCUGCCGGCCCGCUCUCCGCGUUCUCCGCGCACUCGGGCCCGCCUCUCGGCCGUUUUCGCUUUCGCUUUCUUGCCGAGAGCGUUGAGGAAAAUGAAAGUGGCAGUGUCCAGAGCCUGCGCGGCAGCCGUCGGGGCGAGGGGCGCACCGUGCGGGGUGGCCGGCCUGGAGCGGGCGAGCCGGAGCCUCAGCCCGCACCCGGCGAGAUGGCGGUAGGCCCUGGACUUCCCUGCACUGCAGGCAGUGAUGAGGCUAGGCAGCAGAGAAACAAGAAAAUGGACUCCCUCCUCCUGAAGACAAGAAUGCCAGCUACCAGCCAUGGGAGCCAGUUUGCAGGCUGUUGAAGGAAAAGAACAAUAAGACUGUGUCUAGUUUAAAACUUCUCAACUUAAAAGGCCUUGAAAUGUAUUCAGUGAAGACCCAGAGGGCUGCAAGUGUUGGCAGGCAAAUAAAAUGAAGGUGCGGGAACUCGUGUUGACUUCUUGGUUAGAGUGAGAGCUCGG